AGAAGAUUCCAGAGCAGCGAGAGGACAUCCCAGUGCAUCGUUUCAGCAUAAAUAGUGGAAGUAUUGUGCAGUUUUGUGAGGGUUCAGUCGGGACCAGUCAGUGCCUCCCACCCACUCCGGGGGGAGGGGGCGGGAUGUGUUGGUGACACCCCGCCCCAGGCCGUGCCCCGUGUGUAGUGACCCUCUCAUAACCCCUCACCCCUGCGCCUCACCCUCCUAGCGCCACCCCAACUGUAGAGGGUACUUUCCCCUCCCAACCCACGAUGUCAGCGAUUGCACAUGGUGUGCCGGGGUCACGGGAAUUUCCACUGCAGAGACAGCAUCGUGGAGUUCGACCGCGAGGCAGCUGUCAGGUGCGCUGUAGUGAUACUGGUCCUGUGGGGAGCAGCAGCAGGAUAAUACUGCACCACCUCUUGGGGCCAUUAACAACAACAACAGUUUGGUGUGUGUCAUGGGCACCAACACAUGGUGUGUGAUUCUCUCCUCCUCUAUCUAUAUAUAUAUUAGUGAUGCAGAUUACAUGAAGUACUAUGAAGAUUCUAUGUUCAAUAAAGCCUAGAGAUAAG